rnacentral:rRNA from 1 species
GUUGAUCCUGGCUCAGGAUGAACGCUGGCGGUCUGCUUAACACAUGCAAGUCGAACGCAACCUUCGGGUUGAGUGGCGGACGGGUGAGUAACGCGUGAGAAUCUGCCUUGGGGUCGGGGACAACCACUGGAAACGGUGGCUAAUACCGGAUAAGCCUUUGGGUAAAAAAUUUAUUGCCCCAAGAGGAGCUCGCGUCUGAUUAGCUAGUUGGUGAGGUAAAAGCUCACCAAGGCAGCGAUCAGUAGCUGGUCUGAGAGGACGAUCAGCCACACUGGGACUGAGACACGGCCCAGACUCCUACGGGAGGCAGCAGUGGGGAAUUUUCCGCAAUGGGCGAAAGCCUGACGGAGCAAGACCGCGUGAGGGAGGAAAGCUCUUGGGUUGUAAACCUCUUUUCUCAGGGAAGAAGCUCUGACGGUACCUGAGGAAUCAGCCUCGGCUAACUCCGUGCCAGCAGCCGCGGUAAUACGGAGGAGGCAAGCGUUAUCCGGAAUUAUUGGGCGUAAAGCGUCCGCAGGUGGCGAUUCAAGUCUGCUGUCAAAGCACGGGGCUUAACUCCGUUAAGGCAGUGGAAACUGAAUAGCUAGAGUGCCGUAGGGGUAGAGGGAAUUCCCGGUGUAGCGGUGAAAUGCGUAGAGAUCGGGAAGAACAUCGGUGGCGAAAGCGCUCUACUGGACGGCAACUGACACUCAGGGACGAAAGCUAGGGGAGCGAAUGGGAUUAGAUACCCCAGUAGUCCUAGCUGUUAAACGAUGGAUACUAAGGUGUAGCUUGUAUCGACCCGAGCUGUGC